UAAAAAUAAAAUGGAAGGCGCGCCAUUUUAGGAUACUGAAAGCAUGUGUUUGGUUUAUAUUCUUUGAACAAAUCUCAGUUUUCAAGGUUUGUGAAAAUGAGUAAGUCAUCCAAGAAAGAUUCAGAGGAGACUUCUUCCCCCAGUAAAACAUACAUUCGGCACAGAGUGCAAAGCUAUGUGGAGGGAGUUGACACAACUCGUGAAGAUUAUGAAACCGAAAUACCAGCUGAAGAUCAGGCAGAUUUUGUUGACAAGGAGACUGUUGAUGUUGUCGAGGAAGUCAUUGAAGUUUCAAGUAUUAGUCGUGGAUUAAUUGCCGAAACAAUUUUAGGUAAAGUACAACAAAACAAAUAAAAUAAAAAUAAAGUGUGGAUAAUAAUUUUAUAUAAUAUAGUAUUUUUGGCAUUUUUGCACAAGUGAAUAUAACAAAUUCUACAAGUUGAAUGAUCAAAUUUGACGUAUUAAGCUGUUAUAUUCACCUACAGGUGAAUAUAACAAAACCGAAAUUUGCAAAAUGGUGGCUAGCCGUUUUGUGUUAGGGGCGGACCAUUAGAAAUCCCGGGAGGGGGUGUGAAAAUUCAAAAAAAAAAAUUCAUGCAAAGGAAAAUGCCUGGAAAAAAAAUUCGUGCAGCCAUUACGUCAGAGAAAAAAAAUUCAUGCAAGCAAACAGCGAAGUACAAAUAGUCUUGAAAAAAAUUCGUGCAGAGGU